rnacentral:lncRNA from 1 species
CUCUGGUCUGAUGAAACAAAAAUAGAAUUGUUUGGCCAUAAUGACCAUCGUUAUGUUUGGAGGAAAAAGGGGGAGGUUUGCAAGCCGAAGAACACCAUCCCAACCGUGAAGCACGGUGGUGGCAGCAUCAUGUUGUGGGGGUGCUUUGCUGCAGAAGGGACUGGUGCACUUCACAAAAUAGAUGGCAUCAUGAGGGAGGGAAAAUUAUGUGGAUAUAUUGAAGCAACAUCUCAAGACAUCAGUCAGGAAGUUAAAGCUUGGUCGCAAAUAGUUCUUCCAAAUGAACAACGACCCCAAGCAUACUUCCUAACUUGUGGCAAAAUGGCUUAAGGACAACAAAGUCAAGGUAUUGGAGUGGCCAUCACAAAGUCCUGACCUCAAUCCCAUAGAAAAAUUGUGAGCAGAACUGAAAAAGCAUGUGCGAGCAAUGAGGCCUACAAACCUGACUCAGUUACACCAGCUCUGUCAGGAGGAAUGGGCCAAAAUUAACCCAACUUAUUGUGGGAAGCUUGUGGAAGGCUACCUGAAAUGUUUGACCCAGGUUAAACAAUUUAAAGGCAAUGCUACCAAAUACUAAUUGAGUGUAUGUAAACUUCUGACCCACUGGGAAUGUGAUGAAAGAAAUAAAAGCUGAAAUAAAUCAUUCUCUCUAUUAUUAUUCUGACAUUUCACAUUCUUAAAAUAAAGUGGUGAUCCUAACCUAAGACAGGGAAUUUUUACUAGGAUUAAAUGUCAGGAAUUGUGAAAAACUGAGUUUAAAUGUAUUUGGCUGAGGUGUAUGUAAACUUCCCGCCUUCAACUGUAUAUUGUACUUAUCAAUAAAAACAAGACAGGCUAUUAAAAUUACUAUUAUUUUUACAAAUAUAAUACGUGUCCCUAAGUUUUAUCCCCAUUGGUGUAACCACCUUGAAAAUCACUCAUUACAAAGAUUUACAAGUACCUUGCAUUGACCUCCAGUGGAAAAGUUUUGCACUGGAGGGAUCUAUAUUAAAUACAAUUAUUAGCUAAUCACACCCUUUUAGCAACUCAUCAAUUUGAGGAUUCCAUUGAUCAUUUGGUGUGUCUAAAUAGUGUAAUUGGUGUUACAAAUGUUAAAUGAAGGGAAAUUACACUGUGAGCUAAAUUAUGAAUCAUAAACACUUUGGUCAAUUAUUUUUAAAGGUUUAAUGACCUUAGAUUCGAAUGUCCUCAAUUACCAAAAUGUUGUCAUUGGAGUUACCAUCACUGGUGUAACUACUUCUGCUGGUGGCACGAUGUUAUCAUAAUAGUAAAACAUUAUUAAAAGUCACUAAGCUACCAUAUUAGUUCAUUUACAAUGGGAAGAUAUACCCAAUACAUUUUAUUAAAAAGAAUAGAGAAAAAUUAAGUUCAUUUUUUUCUCCAAAAUGCCACACCCAAAUACCGCCGCAAUUCAAGAACAACCCUUAUGGUAGGUAGGCCUAUAGACACUUUCUUAGUUUACAAUUCCCCCCUCUAUCUUCAAUUCACUGAUUAGCUCAAUCAAUUUGUAAAAAUAUGAGAAUAACUUGUUUGGGGUGUUGGUUGUAGUCACCUGAAAGAUGAAGGACAUAGGACCAUUUUAGACAUUUCACAACACUUUAGGCUGUUACCUAAAUGUUAACACAAUACCUGGAAACGAAUCACCACAGGUUGGUGCUAUUGAUGAUAUGUAUACAAUUGCUGAACUCUACAAUUAAUGUUUAAUCUCUACUUAAUACUUUACUAAUACUGAUAUGUGGGUUCUUACCUUGUCCUUUGGGGGAUCAGCAUUCCCCUCCAUGGCCUCUGUGAACACAGAAAACACCAGAAAGAUGAAGACAGCACAGACCAGAGCUUUGUUCAUGUUGAAUAGGGCAGGUGCAACCAUCAGUCCCAACUGCAGCAAAAACGGAAGUGUCAAGGUGCUUGCCCCCGAUGCCUACAGAGAAGAGAGAGAGAGAGAGAGAGAGAGAGAGAGAGAGAGAGAGAGAGAGAUAAAGAGAGAGAGAGAGAUAAAGAGAGAGAGAGAGAUAAAGAGAGAGAUAAAGAGAGAGAUAAAGAGAGAGAAGGAACUGAAUUUCCACACUCUUAUAAAAGGGACUAUCUAGAGCCAUAAAGGGUUCUUCUGCUGUCCCUGUAUGAGAACCCUUUUUGGCUCCAUGUAGAACCGAUGUAGAACCGAUGUAGAACCCAACUUACCCAACAAACCAUGGUAUAACCUUAUAAUAACCCUUUGGUGAUAAGACCCAACCUGGAACCAAACAGGGUUCUCUGGGACAGCCAAAGAACCCUUUAUGGGUCGUUCUUGAACUGCAGUGGCAUUCACAUCCACGAAAAAAACACUUCAAAAUGACAAAUAGUUACACAUUAUUCAAGUUUUCUGUUUAAAAGACUGUUUAUCAGUCAUAAAACAUACUGCAAGUGCUUUAUAAUGCAAAACGUUAUGUUUAUGCAUUGUUUAAAGUACAGUUAUAGUGACAUAUUUUGUGUCACGUCCUGACCAGCAGAUGGAGCUGGUGUAGUAGUUUGGGGGUCAGGACGUGGCAGUCUUGUGUGUGUCUUGUGACUCCUGAUCAGGAACAGCUGGGAAUCGUUGUUCCUGAUUGGGAGUCAUAUAUGUAGGAGUUGUUUGUCACUGGGGUUUGUGGGUGGUUGUUUUGCACUGCGUUUUUUUUUUUUUUUUAGCCUGCAAACUGUUACUGCUGUCACGUUUAUUGUUUCCUGUGGAUGCUUUACUCCUUUUGUUGGGUAAUUAAAAAAUGAGUAUUCACAUACCUGCUGCGCCUUGGUUCAUUUCAGAAGACAGUCGUUACAUAUUGGGGGAUUUAAAGCUAUCAAUAUAUGUAUUAUUUUUGAAUUCUAGAAAGAAAACAAAAGCAUUACAUACAGUUGAAGUCAGAAGUUUACAUACACUUAGGUUGGAGUCAUUAAAACCCGUUUUUCAACCACUCCACAAAUUUCUUGUUAACAAACUAUAGUUUUGGCAAGUUGGUUAGGACAUCUACUUUGUGAAUGACACAAGUCAUUUUUCCAACAAUUGUUCACAGACAGAUUAUUUCACUUAUAAUUCAGUGUAUCACAAUUCCAGUGGGUCAUAAGUUUACAUACACUAAGUAGACUGUGCCUUUAAAUAGCUUGGAAAAUUGCAGAAAAUGAUGUCAUGGCUUUAGAAGCUUCUGAUAGGCUAAUUGACAUCAUUUGAGUCAAUUGGAGGUGCACCUGUGGAUGUAUUUCAAGGCCUACCUUCAAACUCAGUGCCUCAUUGCUUGACAUCAUGGGAAAAUCAAAAGAAAUCAGCCAAGACCUCAGAAAACAAAUUGUAGACCACAAGUCUGGUUAAUCCUUGGGAUUAAUUUCCAAAUGCCUGAAGGUACCACGUUCAUCUGUACAAACAAUAGUACGCAAGUAUAAACACCAUGGGACCACGCAGCCGUCAUCAAGAAGGAGACGCGUUCUGUCUCCUAGAGAUGAACGUACUUUGGUGCGAAAAGUGCAAGUCAAUCCCAGAACAACAGCAAAGGUGCUGGAGGAAACAGGUACAAAAGUAUCUAUCUCCACAGUAAAACAAGUCCUAUAUUGACAUACCUGAAAGGCUGCUCAGCAAGGAAGAAGUCAUUGCUCCAAAACCGCAAUAAAAAAGACUACGGUUUGAAACUGCACAUGGGGACAUAGAUCGUACUUUUUGGAGAAAUGUCCUCUGGUCUGAUGAAACAAAAAUAGAAUUGUUUGGCCAUAAUGACCAUCGUUAUGUUUGGAGGAAAAAGGGGGAGGCUUGCAAGCCGAAGAACACCAUCCCAACCGUGAAGCACGGUGGUGGCAGCAUCAUGUUGUGGGGGUGCUUUGCUGCAGAAGGGACUGGUGCACUUCACAAAAUAGAUGGCAUCAUGAGGGAGGGAAAAUUAUGUGGAUAUAUUGAAGCAACAUCUCAAGACAUCAGUCAGGAAGUUAAAGCUUGGUCGCAAAUAGUUCUUCCAAAUGAACAACGACCCCAAGCAUACUUCCUAACUUGUGGCAAAAUGGCUUAAGGACAACAAAGUCAAGGUAUUGGAGUGGCCAUCACAAAGUCCUGACCUCAAUCCCAUAGAAAAAUUGUGAGCAGAACUGAAAAAGCAUGUGCGAGCAAUGAGGCCUACAAACCUGACUCAGUUACACCAGCUCUGUCAGGAGGAAUGGGCCAAAAUUAACCCAACUUAUUGUGGGAAGCUUGUGGAAGGCUACCUGAAAUGUUUGACCCAGGUUAAACAAUUUAAAGGCAAUGCUACCAAAUACUAAUUGAGUGUAUGUAAACUUCUGACCCACUGGGAAUGUGAUGAAAGAAAUAAAAGCUGAAAUAAAUCAUUCUCUCUACUAUUAUUCUGACAUUUCACAUUCUUAAAAUAAAGUGGUGAUCCUAACCUAAGACAGGGAAUUUUUACUAGGAUUAAAUGUCAGGAAUUGUGAAAAACUGAGUUUAAAUGUAUUUGGCUGAGGUGUAUGUAAACUUCCCGCCUUCAACUGUAUAUUGUACUUAUCAAUAAAAACAAGACAGGCUAUUAAAAUUACUAUUAUUUUAACAAAUAUAAUACGUGUCCCUAAGUUUUAUCCCCAUUGGUGUAACCACCUUGAAAAUCACUCAUUACAAAGAUUUACAAGUACCUUGCAUUGACCUCCAGUGGAAAAGUUUUGCACUGG